GCUCUCUCGCGAAAGCUUUGCUGCACUCGCGCACACACACACGCACUUGAGUUGCGAUCAGCUGAGCGCAGCUUAAGUUUUGCAAGAACUUGUUCUCACGCACUGCACGCGGUAAUUUUUUUGUUAAAAUAUUGUUAAUUUGUAUAACACUCCGGCUGCCAGAGGCAGCAGUUGCGUAUAGUUUACCCACUAUAAGCGGGAUUUGUAUGGAUUGCCCUGGGGCGGGCUUUAUACAGUGUCACUGUCACUUUCUUGGUUUAUGCCUGCUGCCAGCGGUGCACUAACGCGCACACACACACGAGACUGCAAUUUUCACGUCCGAUCUCCAGAGAAACACAAACCUCUCAUGUGUAUACUUUGCGGUUGACAUAAGAUCGCUAAGGUGAUUUGUGAGCACCAUUAUAAUCAGAAAGUCUAGCUUCGAGUUCGAGAUGAACAGACAACGAUUUCCUAUUUUGAAUAUGUGUAUUCAUUCAAUUUUCAUUUAUUGCAUGGUUCAGAAUGUUAUAAAAGGCAAGUUGGAGGCCUUUAGUGUGGAGUAUCCAAUCCAGCUACCAGCAAGACCGCCGUUUCUUUCACAAAGGAAACUAUGUGAUUCCUUGCUUAAUGGACGCUAUAUUCAUGACAUAACACUCUGGAUUCCCUCUUAGAUGAUUAUGUUCCCAACUCGAGUCCUUCCGUUGCUCUUUCAAAGCCAUCCUGGCUUACGCGAGACAGUUUAAUAAUUUUGUAAGCUUGAAGCGAAAAUCUUCAAUUUCUCUCGGGGUAGAUAAAGCACGGCCAAUCACUUGUAUCUAAAUUGU